GGGGGUAUAGCUCAGUGGUAGAGUGCAUGCUUGGCGUACGUGGGGUCCUGGGUUUAAUCCCCAGUGACUUCA
rnacentral:tRNA from 1 species